AACGCUGGCGGCGUGCCUAACACAUGCAAGUCGAGCGAGGAGAUCCUUCGGGAUGAUCCUAGCGGCGGACGGGUGAGUAACACGUGGGCAACCUGCCUCAUAGAGAGGAAUAGCCUUCCGAAAGGGAGAUUAAUACCUCAUAACAUUGCAGUUUCGCAUGGAACAGCAAUUAAAGGAGUAAUCCGCUAUGAGAUGGGCCCGCGGUGCAUUAGCUAGUUGGUGAGGUAACGGCUCACCAAGGCGACGAUGCGUAGCCGACCUGAGAGGGUGAUCGGCCACAUUGGGACUGAGACACGGCCCAAACUCCUACGGGAGGCAGCAGUAGGGAAUCUUCCGCAAUGGACGAAAGUCUGACGGAGCAACGCCGCGUGAGUGAAGAAAAGGUUUUCGGAUCGUAAAACUCUGUUGUCAGAGAAGAACAAGUUGGAGAGUAACUGCUCCAGCCUUGACGGUAUCUGACCAGAAAGCCACGGCUAACUACGUGCCAGCCGCAGC
rnacentral:rRNA from 1 species